rnacentral:lncRNA from 1 species
ACUGACAGUUGUCAAUUCUGGUGAGAGCCUAUAGAGUGGACUUGAAAUUGGGUUUGUGACUAUAGCACGCUGACUCACAAAAGAAGAAAUAGAUAUACAUAUUUAUAUAUAUAUUUUUAUAUUUUUAUAUAUAAUUUUUUUUUCUGGGCCAGCCUAGAGGUGAAAGCAGUUGAUCACAAGGCCAGAUCAUGCCAUCUGGAUUCUUCUAAAAAGGUACAGAAUUAAUAAACAGGAAGAUUUACAAAUCCAAGAUUCAUUUUUUCCAUCACUUUACACCCUAGAAAACUGAUACAGACUUCCCCAGUUGAAGUUUAAUACAGAAGACUAAAUUGUAUAUCCAGCAUGCAAAUGUGUAGUGUAAGCAAUUCAUUAGAUUAAACAUAUUUGACCACUGAGGACCCGAUUUAUGUUUAAAGUUGACAGAGCAGCAAGGGCAAAUGUGCACCUGCUUGAGCUUGUGCAUCCUUCUUUUCCUGCCCUUGGGCAUAGGUACUGCUGCUUCUCCAUUCUUUGGACUUGAAUUCUACCAACAGCUUUCCUUGUUCUCCAGCUUGCAGAUGGCAGAUUGGGGGAACUUUUCAGCCCCCUCCCUAAUUGCAUCAGCCAAUUCUCUCUCUCUCUCUCUCCCUCUCUCUACACACACACACACACACACACACACACACACACACACACACACACACAAAUUGGUAUCAUAUCUCUGGAGAACCCUAACAAAGAAAAAGCAACCUGUGAUUCCACUACUCAGAAAGAAUCUCUGCAAUUGAUUUGCGUGCUGUCUUUCAAUGUUCCCUUCCACGCGAUCAUGCUUGCAAGUCUAUCUGUCACAGGGAGGAGCCCUCUAGUCAGAAGCAGAUUGACCGCCCCUCCACUGGCCUCCAGGCCUCUAUUUGUAGAAGUCAGGUGGGACAUUCCCAGCUCUGAAUACACCUGACCAGGUCUCCUAACCACUGCCUGCCUCACUCCAUCGUGACUAAUCUCACUGCACUGUUUAUCCCUAUUAAUGUCAGGCACAAAAGAAGCUGAGUCUUCCCACUUUUCUCUAGUGUCCUGGCCUCUCAUCUGCUUCUGAAUCACCUUCUCAGAACUUAUACUUUAAUAUUAUUCUUAACUUAAAGUUUCCCAUCACCUCAAACCCUUACUCUGUGCCCCCAGAAGCUCUCAUGUAAUCAGACUUUCAUUCAAUCCUCUGUAUCCUUAAUACAUUUUCUUAACUGUUUUUGGUGGCUUUCUGCUCUGAGAAUACUGUGUCCCCUGAAGCCUUU